CAGAUAACAAGGAGAUUUUCCUUUCCAAAGCAAUUCACAAGUCCUUCAUCGAGGUUAAUGAAGAAGGCUCAGAAGCUGCUGCAACCUCAGGAAUGAUUGCAAUUAGUAGGAUGGCUGUGCUGUACCCUCAAGUUAUUGUCGACCAUCCAUUUUUCUUUCUUAUCAGGAACAGGAGAACAGGUACAGUCCUAUUCAUGGGCCGAGUCAUGCAUCCUGAAACAAUGAACACAAGUGGACAUGAUUUUGAGGAACUUUAAAUCAUUUCAUAUGCAAAAUAGUAACUAAACACAUUAUGUUUGCAACUGGUAUAUUUAAGAUUUGUGUUUUACAGUAUAUCUUAUGGUAAUAUUUAAAAAUAGUUCCAGAUAAAACAAUGUACGUAAAUCAUAAGCCAAGGAAUGUUCUCAGUAUUAUUGAGGUAAUAGUCCCGUGGUGUCAUUGUGUCUACUGUGCUGGUAUUUAAAAUAAAAGUGCAUAUUGAUAAUGUGAA